CACGCACCCCCCCAGAGGUUCUUCAUCUUGCAAAGUUUUCAAGAUGAAAAACUGAAAAACUUCCACAUUCUCCAAGCACUGCAUUUUUAUGAAGUUUUCCAUCUCCCAGGUAUUGCUGUAACUUUGAGAUUCAGUUCCAUGGGUUGAUGAAGUUUGAAUCUGGAGUACUUGAAUGUUGAAAGUUAAAUCACUAUCCAACAACAACAUGGUUUUCUUCUUAGCCCAAAAAUCUCCGGAUGUGAAGCCUUUGUCAAAACAAUUCUCUGAUGCACUGCAUACAGUAUUUCAACGCAUAUAUGAGCGCCUUUGGGCUAGAGGAGGAAUAUUUGAGAAAGAAAAUUGAGGUGGAGCUGGGGACUAGGAUGAUACGUUUUGAUUCACAAAUAAUGUGCUUGAUGUUUUAAAUUUCAGGCCUGAUAUAACUUGCAUAACAGAAAUGGAGAAAUACACAACAA